rnacentral:lncRNA from 1 species
GAUGGACGGCUGCACACACCGAGGGCACUGAGCUCGCCUGAGCUUGCAGGACAUCCCAUUUCAGGGUGAGGAGGCAGCAAGCCUGCUCUAUGGACCUGAAGGCCACAGACUGUACCUCAUCCAUCUGUGCAUGUGUGUGCAAGUGUGUGUGGGUAUGUAUGUGUGGGUAUGUAUGUGUGCAAGUGUGUGUGGGCAUGUAUGUGUGCACAAGUGUGUGUGCAUGUAUGUGUGGGCAUGUAUGUAUGCACAUGUGUGUGUGCAAGUGUGUGUGGGCAUGUAUGUGUGUGCAUGUGUGUGUGUGUGUACAGUCUAUAUAGCAUAAAUGAAGUCCAGAAUAGAGCACUGAUCCCUGGCUCUGGAGCUAUAUGUGGGUGUGAGCCAUCUGACGUGGGUGCUGGGACCCACACUGACCUCUAGAAGGCAGUGAGCACUCCUAACCACUGAGCCAUCUUUCCAGCCUCCUA